rnacentral:lncRNA from 1 species
GUUCUGCUCCUGAGAAUGAAAUCAGACCUUUAUUGAGCUCAUACUAUGUGUCCGAUCUCAUUCAGUUCUCCAAGGUCAGUGUCACUGCCUGUUCUAUAGUGAUGAAUCUGAAGCAGAGUCCAAAAACUUGUUCAAGGACACUGAACAAAGAAGGCUGCCCGUGGGGAUCUAUAAAGCCCACAGGAGAGUUCUCAGCAAAGACAAGAAAGGGAAGGGUUGGAGGAGAAAAGAAGUCAACUCUCCCAUCCUAUACAAGGUCAGGCUGCUGGGAUUCUUCUCUUACGAGACCUGACGAGCUAUCAAUAGCCUGAAUAUGACAAGGACCCAAGUCACCUCUGCUUGUGGUUAUUUGUCAUCCUCCGUUCCUUGCUGUGGUUGAGGGUUCAUGUAGCACUCCCCCCCUGUGAAACUCAGGCUGCUGAGACAGGGGACCAGCCUCAAAGCAAGAUUUCUCUGCAGGGCCUCUAGCUGCCUGACUUCAGGGCCCCCCUCACCUUGUACUCUGUAUAGAUGUCCCUUGGAGUUGGGCAUUGAGGCAAGACUGUGGCCCUCUUCUUUACUGAUUCAUGCACUCAUUCAUUCAGAAAUAUUAAACACUGGCUAUCGCUUAGGAACUCUACUGAUCUCUGAGGAUGGAGAAGGGGAUAAACCAGGUCAGUCCUAGUUAAUGGUGACAUACUGUCCACACCGGAGCUCUUUGGAAACCUGGGAGUCACUGUUGACUCUUCCUCCCCCUUAGCUACCAACGUGUUCAAACACCAAGCCUUUGAUAUCAAGUUUGCCUUUGAAAUAUUCAUCAUGCUCAUCUCUAUUUCUGCAUCCCAGCUAGCACAGCCCUACUUUAGGUUUCCCAUACCCCUUUUUUUGAUUAUUAUUACCGUUCCCUCAUAACUAGUCUGUCUGAUUUGGUCUCAUCCUCAUUAUUUGCUCCUCCCUACUUGAGCAAGAAAGACUCACCUAAAAUAUAUGUUUAAGUCACUCACUCAAACUUCAAAUGGCUCCCUUUGGCCCAGCUAACAUGGCGUACAAAGUCCAUGUUCAUGCUUUGGCUUUUACCCCUCUCUCCAGCUCUGCCGCCUAGUAGGCUCUUGACCACCAGAGUAAGAUUAUUCAGCCAUAUUGCCUUGGCUGACUCCAUGUCCUCUGGGGGGGCGGGGUGAGUGUGCUGUCUCCUCUGUCUGCACAUCUCUUCUCCCACCUGUCACUUCUCUGACUUUGCUCCCUCCUCCCCACGACCUUUGUAAUUCCUGCAUCAGGCUGAGUCCUCUCCAUUCUUCAAGGCUUACUUUAGGGCCCAACCACUUCAGAAAA